GCUUAACAUGCAGUCGACGAUGAAGCCCAGCUUGCUGGGUGGAUUAGUGGCGAACGGGUGAGUAACACGUGAGUAACCUGCCCUUAACUCUGGGAUAAGCCUGGGAAACUGGGUCUAAUACCGGAUAGGAGCGUCCACCGCAGGGUGGGUGUUGGAAAGAUUUAUCGGUUUUGGAUGGACUCGCGGCCUAUCAGCUUGUUGGUGAGGUAAUGGCUCACCAAGGCGACCACGGGUAGCCGGCCUGAGAGGGUGACCGGCCACACUGGGACUGAGACACGGCCCAGACUCCUACGGGAGGCAGCAGUGGGGAAUAUUGCACAAUGGGCGCAAGCCUGAUGCAGCGACGCCGCGUGAGGGAUGACGGCCUUCGGGUUGUAAACCUCUUUCAGUAGGGAAGAAGCGAAAGUGACGGUACCUGCAGAAGAAGCACCGGCUAACUACGUGCCAGC
rnacentral:rRNA from 1 species